GACGAACGCUGGCGGCGUGCUUAACACAUGCAAGUCGAACGGAAAGGCCCUGCUUUUGUGGGGUGCUCGAGUGGCGAACGGGUGAGUAACACGUGAGUAACCUGCCCUUGACUUUGGGAUAACUUCAGGAAACUGGGGCUAAUACCGGAUAGGAGCUCCUGCUGCAUGGUGGGGGUUGGAAAGUUUCGGCGGUUGGGGAUGGACUCGCGGCUUAUCAGCUUGUUGGUGGGGUAGUGGCUUACCAAGGCUUUGACGGGUAGCCGGCCUGAGAGGGUGACCGGCCACAUUGGGACGGAGAUACGGCCCGGACGCCUACGGGAGGCAGCAGUGGGGAAGAUGGCACAAGGGGCGGAAGCCUGAUGCAGAAACGCCGCGUGCGGGAUGACGGCCUGCGGGUGGUAAACCGCUUGCGCCUGUGACGAAGCGUGAGUGACGGUAAUGGGUAAAGAAGCACCGGCUAGCUACGUG
rnacentral:rRNA from 1 species